rnacentral:lncRNA from 1 species
GAAGGCCUGAAGGUCACUUUUAAAGCAAACAAAUACCUAACCAUAGAGACACACAUGUUCCAAGAAACUUUACAGACUUUCCACAGUUGCCUGGAUCCCAGCCUAGUGUCACUGAUUAGUAUGCUUUCUCAGGUAGUGGGCCUAAAAGCAAAGUCAUUUUUUCUCUGUGAAAAGAAGAGAAAGGACUGUGCAGAGACAUUUCCAGUUUAGUGGAAUAGGCUGCAUGUUGCGGUUGCCAUAGUAACCUGACAUCAUCACAAAGACCAUAACCAUGGCAACAUUUUUAACAGCAGCUUUUAUGGCCUGGUGAAAAAAAGCAGAGCUGCCCCCUCUUUCAGGUGUUUUGACUCUGUUAAAGAUGAGGGAGAGAUGUAUCCCAGCCCCAGUGAGUGUGGUAUCCUUCUCCAGAGUAUCCUGGAGCUACUUCCCAUGUACAGGCCACCACUUGAGAAACCAUACUAACUAGAAGAGCUCGACUGGAACCCACAUAAUUAUGGGAACUCUGCAGUUUGGUGGAACAUACAUAUCCCUAUUGUCAGACAGCAAUGAAGAAGAGAUGGCAAGUGCUAUUUCACAGGUGAUCACAUUCAGCCCCACUGAGACUAAGACCCUCUUCAGUUCCUCCAGGGAAAAAACAACAGAGGACAGAAGGUCUUUCAGGGGUACUUCGGCCUCUCUCCUGUCAUUGGCCCAUUCCUCACUCACUCUUCCCAGCCUUUAGUGGCAGUAGGGAACAUAGGAAGAAAGCAGGAAUCUCUGGUGCUGUUGGGGGCAGAAAACGUGAGAACAAGUUCGGGAAACAGAGAAACCAGAGUCCACAACAUGGAUGUGGAAUCA